rnacentral:rRNA from 1 species
AACGAACGCUGGCGGCAGGCCUAACACAUGCAAGUCGAGCGCGCCUUCGGGUGAGCGGCGGACGGGUUAGUAACGCGUGGGAACGUGCCCUUCUCUACGGAAUAGCCUCUGGAAACGGAGAGUAAUACCGUAUACGCCCUUUGGGGGAAAGAUUUAUCGGAGAAGGAUCGGCCCGCGUUAGAUUAGGUAGUUGGUGGGGUAACGGCCUACCAAGCCUACGAUCUAUAGCUGGUUUUAGAGGAUGAUCAGCAACACUGGGACUGAGACACGGCCCAGACUCCUACGGGAGGCAGCAGUGGGGAAUCUUAGACAAUGGGGGCAACCCUGAUCUAGCCAUGCCGCGUGAGUGAUGAAGGCCUUAGGGUCGUAAAGCUCUUUCAGCUGGGAAGAUAAUGACGGUACCAGCAGAAGAAGCCCCGGCUAACUCCGUGCCAGCCGCCGCGGUAAAC